rnacentral:rRNA from 1 species
GAUGAACGCUAGCUACAGGCUUAACACAUGCAAGUCGAGGGGUAACGAGAGGAAAGCUUGCUUUCCUUGUCGACGACCGGCGCACGGGUGAGUAACGCGUAUCCAAUCUGCCCCCAACUAGGGAAUAACCUUGCGAAAGUAAGACUAAUACCCUAUAAUUUCCUCAGAUGUCAUCUGACGAGGAAUAAAGAUUUAUCGGUUGUGGAUGGGGAUGCGUCUGAUUAGCUUGUUGGCGGGGUAACGGCCCACCAAGGCAACGAUCAGUAGGGGUUCUGAGGGGAAGGUACCCCACAUUGGAACUGAGACACGGUCCAAACUCCUACGGGAGGCAGCAGUGAGGAAUAUUGGUCAAUGGGCGGAAGCCUGAACCAGCCAAGUAGCGUGCAGGAUGACGGCCCUAUGGGUUGUAAACUGCUUUUAUACAGGAAUAAAGUUAGCCACGUGUGGUUAUUUGCAGGUACUGUAUGAAUAAGGACCGGCUAAUUCCGUGCCAGCAGCCGCCGUAA